ACUGUUCAUAAAAUUGAUGUAAUGUAAGGUAGUUGUUAUCCUACAAUCCUGUAUACUUGAAUAUUUUACAAUCCAUUAAAAUGCAUAGAUAGAUCUAAAGCUCAAGUGUGGUAUAAAUUUAAGCAUAGGACCAAGAAAUUCGAAUGUUUUUUAUAGAUCCUUUAUGAGCUAGCUAUAUGAAUUUAGAAUUUGAAGUUUGUUUGAAGCUGGA
rnacentral:lncRNA from 1 species